AAAAAUUUUUUCUUCAGAUUCAUAUUUUUUUUAUUCUUUUGACUUUUUAAUAUAUACUUCAAUGGCAAUGAAUUCAAUGUGGAGUUGUACAAAAAUAAGAUCCAAAAGGGUGAAUUGUUCUCACCAACAGGGGUUACCAAUAUUUUGGUGGAUUCUUGUAAUGCAGAGGCACUCCACUCUGAUGCGGGUUAUUACUUCCAUAUAAUGUUCAUUUUAAGAAUUAUAGGUGCCACUUUGAUCUUGACAUUACGGAUGCCAGCGAUACAAUUAUUGCAACUGUCUCAGAAACGAUGGCAGAAACAAUGUUGUCUCUCACUGCCGAACAAAUAUAUGAAAAUGUUAUUGCCCAAGUACAUAACUACAUAGUUCUACAAACAGACAAAACACCUCUUCAUUGAAUCCUAUUAUACCAGUAAACAAAAGAGCAACAUUACAUAAGCACCUACUACUGUGCAACCUUUUCUCCUUUUCACUCAGAGAGAACCACUUUCUAUCCGUACAAAUCAACAGUUUGCUCAUAAACUGUUUAGACUCCAACUACAAAAGCCGAUCUACAGUUUUUUCGACCAAACACCUUGUAUGCUAGCUGCUGCAUCCUUCACUGUAGCAGAAGCCCAGUUCUCGUAACAUUAUCAUUACCAAUGGCUCCUGAAGAAACAGGUAAAAAGUAGAAAGUCAAACCGCCCACUCCAAUGAAAAAAAAUUAAAGAUGACGAGUGCCCAAAGUUGAAUGCAGCCAAGUUUGCUUAAAUGGUGUCGCAUGUGCAACUAUAUUUUGGUUACCUCUACUGGCGUCGCCACAUGGUAGCAUGUACAACUUCAUUUUGCCUGCCUCCACCAAUGUCAUACAAUUAGCCCAUCAACAGACUUUUUUCAUUUUGGUAUAACUGGCAAUCACCAUUAUUAAUGUACAGUCACAACUUGAUGUAACGAACCUACAUGUUAAUAGUUUUUGUAUAAAUAGGUCACAAAUAAAAAUCUAUGAUGGUUGUAAGAUAUAUUUACGUAUUAUUACUUACUGUUUUCC